rnacentral:lncRNA from 1 species
AUGGGGCGCUUGUCAUUCAAACCACCAAGGCUUGGCAACUACUUAGGACUGAAUGAAGCGGGGAUUGCCCUUCUGUUUGCAUGUGGACAGAGACCUUCACACCUUAACUUCCACAUGACUUGUGAAGAACCAUCCUUUGGGGGACACGGAGAUUGGUGGGGACGUAUCUGGAGGUCUGAGUCUCAGAGUCCAACUGACACAUCCUCAGGAGACCAGUCUGAGGGGGACAUGACAGGUCCUCAGGGAGCCCAAGUAUCAGGGCAAUAUGGCUGCAGGAGACACAGGCCUUCUUCAAGCAGCCCCAGUCUGAGGUGGAAAGUAGAUACAGGCACCACAGAUGGCAAUACUGUUCUGCUCUUGGAGCUGGUGUGGAGAUCCAUGAGAUGGACCCUGGAGUCUGUUUCCACAGGGAUGAGAAUAUGUGAGAAGCUGUAACAGACUGUGGGAAAAGCUGGCAUCACACGCUUUCCAGAUGUGCGUCCUCCUGCAUCCUCAGACUGUUUGACUAACAGGGAGCCCCACGGGGGUCCAUUCUUCCCAUGAAGUAUAGGUGAGCCUGAGCUGGGGAAGCAAGAGGUUGAGAGAGGUCUGUGGGAUGGCUCUCUGGAAUCUGGCCAAUGAGGGACCACGGGAGAUAAGCCACUUGCCUUCGAUAAGGGACACUCAAGCCACCUCAUUUAGUGAAGACCUGUGGGUGAUAAACUGAGGUGUCUCCCGCAGCCCAGGCAGGGAGGGCUGUGUGUGGAAGGCAAGAGGGAAGUGGUCAGGCCCCAGGACUUUUCAGCCAUAAGUCAGCGCUGGCCAGGCAAGAGGCUUUGAGCUACCUCUGGCUCCCUGUCACCCCCAUCAAGGUGACAACUGCUGUUUCCUGAGAUGGAAACUGCCUCUCAGAUGCCGUUAGGAGGAAGACGGUGGUCGUGGACUGAGUUGGGGGGCGGUGUUUACAGCAGCUUCUUGGCUGCUCCCCCAACCCCAGCAUAUGCUCACAGUAUUGACCAGCACCAAAUAAGCAUGAAGUGGCAGAGCUUGUUGUGUUUCUAUGGCAAGAAGCUCAUCUCUGAACCAGUGGGGAGCUUAGGCGGUCAAUAGGCAUUUGCAGACACCACCUCUGAGAAGACCCUGGUGGCAGAGAAGGAGAAGUUGAGGCACUGAGAGCCAACGGAGGAAUAAGGACUUGCCUAAGGCCACACAGCAUUGAGCAUUCCUAGCCCCCCAAAGGGCUGUCCAAGGCCAGCCUCCAUUCCAGCAUAUUCUUGCAAGCGUGAGAGGGCGCCUAUGAGAUGCGCUCUGCAGGCCUAGUGGCUGGAGUCAGGCUCUGGAAGGAGUCCCAAGCCCAGCCUUGUCCAGGCCCCCAACUCUCUGGUCAGCAAAAGCAACCCACAUGGGAUGGCCCCCAGACAUGCAGGCGACACUCACUCAUCACUCCAUUAGCUGCUCUCCCGCUGACAGUCCCCAGGCGGCUCUCAUGCUGGCCAGUGAACGUCCAGGAUGAUGAGUCUUCAGAGACUCU